UGAGGAAUAUUGGGCAAUGCCCGCAAGGGUGACCCAGCAACGCCGCGUGGAGGAUGAAGGCCGUAAGGUUGUAAACUCCUGUUAGAGGAGAAGAACAGUACCGAUUGGAUCGGUAUUUGACUGUACCCUCAGAGAAAGCCCCGGCUAACUACGUGCCAGCAGCCGCGGUAAUACGUAGGGGGCAAGCGUUGUCCGGAUUUACUGGGUGUAAAGGGCGCGCAGGCGGGAUAGCAAGUCAGAGGUGAAAUCCUACAGCUUAACUGUAGAACUGCCUUUGAUACUGUUAUUCUUGAGUUCGGGAGAGAGAGACGGAAUUCCAGGUGUAGUGGUGAAAUACGUAGAUAUCUGGAAGAACACCAGUUGCGAAGGCGGUCUCUUGGUCCGAUACUGACGCUGAGGCGCGAAAGCGUGGGGAGCAAACA
rnacentral:rRNA from 1 species